UACGGAGGGUGCAAGCGUUAUCCGGAUUCACUGGGUUAAAGGGUAGCGUAGGUGGGAAUGUAAGUCAGUGGUGAAAUCUCCGUCGCUUAACAUGGAAACUGCCAUUGAUAACUAUGUUUCUUGAAUUUUCUGGAGGUAAGCGGAAUAUGUCAUGUAGCGGUGAAAUGCUUAGAUAUGACAUAGAACACCAAUUGCGAAGGCAGCUUGCUACAGGGAUAUUGACACUGAGGCAACGAAAGCGUGGGGAUCAAACAGG
rnacentral:rRNA from 1 species